rnacentral:lncRNA from 1 species
GGGUUGUCAAUAUGGCUGCGUUGGGAUCUGUUCACCUUCAGGCUGAGUCGAGACUGAGGUGAAAAAGCGGAAAAACGCGAGAAAAGGUUUCCCCGUUGUACAGAGGCUAGAGUGAGGCUCGGUUGAAUCGGUUGCAGGCGUUGGUGCCUCUGUCAGCGUCCAGGUCACUGCCGCUCCCGCCCCGCUCUUCCCUGGCUGUGCUGGCGGAGGCUGCGCCGAUGAACCUGACUGAGGUGGGUGCCGCGUCCCAGGGCGCCCCGCCCGAUCCCUCCUCCGAGUGCCGAAGCCCCGAGGAGGGGCCCUGCAGGUCAGGCCCCUGUGUCCCAAAGAGAGGAGCGUUCUUGUGUGGGGUACCGGUGUCCGCGGUGCUGUGAGGCGGGGGAGCUCCUGUCAGGGACCUGCACGUGCGAGGCUUAGAGGUGCUGCAGAGCGGGCGGCACUGGGGAGCCCGAGCGUCUUUGUCUCCACGGAGCUGAGGGGUUCAUAGCAGUGGCAGCAAUGCUUAUGGAUGCUGGACAGGUUGUUGGCAUGGAGCCAAGGAUGAGGAGGCACCUUCCAAGCAAUGUGUUUCUGUAGGAGUGUCACAGGUCACAACUUUAAAGCCAGCUUUGUCCACCCAGAAGGCCCAGC